UACGUAGGGUGCGAGCGUUAAUCGGAAUUACUGGGCGUAAAGCGUGCGCAGGCGGUCUGUUAAGACCGAUGUGAAAUCCCCGGGCUUAACCUGGGAACUGCAUUGGUGACUGGCAGGCUUUGAGUGUGGCAGAGGGAGGUAGAAUUCCACGUGUAGCAGUGAAAUACGUAGAGAUGUGGAGGAAUACCGAUGGCGAAGGCAGCCCCCUGGGUCAAUACUGACGCUCAUGCACGAAAGCGUGGGGAGCAAACAGG
rnacentral:rRNA from 1 species